GUGGGGAAUCUUGCGCAAUGGGCGAAAGCCUGACGCAGCCAUGCCGCGUGAAUGAUGAAGGUCUUAGGAUUGUAAAAUUCUUUCACCGGGGACGAUAAUGACGGUACCCGGAGAAGAAGCCCCGGCUAACUUCGUGCCAGCAGCCGCGGUAAUACGAAGGGGGCUAGCGUUGCCCGGAAUUACUGGGCGUAAAGGGCGCGUAGGCGGACAGUUUAGUCAGAGGUGAAAGCCCAGGGCUCAACCUUGGAAUUGCCUUUGGUACUGGCUGUCUUGAGUACGGGAGUGGUGAGUGGAACUCCGAGUGUAGAGGUGAAAUUCGUAGAUAUUCGGAAGAACACCAGUGGCGAAGGCGACUCACUGGCCCGUUACUGACGCUGAGGCGCGAAAGCGUGGGGAGCAAACAGGAUUAGAAACCCCGGUAGUCC
rnacentral:rRNA from 1 species